AUUAUCAAAAGAACAGUGUAAGGAAAACGGUAAAUUGUAGUAGUAUAUCCAUGCUCAAAAUUACAGUUUGGUUAAUAAAGGAAAAAUUAAAAAGAAAAAAUAAUUAUGUAUGUUGUUACCCCUAGCCCUCAAUAGUUAUUGAGAGACAACACUUAUGGGUUCCAAAGAUUUUAAUAAUUCACCACAUAAGCAGGUCACUGAUCGAUCAGGGCUGCAGGACAAAGACUCAGGAGCCUUGUUUCUCCUGACAGCCCCAGCAGGAGCAGAAUUGGGGUUUAUAAGCACAAACAUCACAAGCAUUUGUUGUCAAGUUAUGGUUACAGUUUUCACCAAUCAAGAUUUAGAGAUACAGUGCAAGCCUUUCAGUCCGACCAAUCAGAUCCAUUUGUUCCUUCUGUGGUUAGGAAUGGCCAUGAUGUUUCUAAAGAACUAAAGAUGUAUGACGACUAUUUCUAUGGUUUAAGGAGGAGGUGGAUCAGCCAUUGGAAGGUUCCCAAGUUGUAGGGGAGCUGGGAAACCUGAACUGUAUUUUACCCUGCGGAUAAGAGAGUCUGAAGUCAAAAUGCCAACACUCAGGCCAAGGUGCUUUUGCCUGCUUGGGUUGCCUGGUUUCUCAGGAUUGUGAGACUCGCCCUUUAUUUUUGCCCUGUUCUCCUGGGAUGCCUAUUGAAGACAAGGAUAGAGAGUGAUUUACAGUGGCUCCUUUUCCAUCUUCACCUCAUGAUCGAGCCUCAGUCUGUACCUAAUAGUCUGAGCUAACAGAUGAUGGUGAUGACAAAGACCAUGGAUUCUGCUUUAGGUUCCUGCCUUGAGUUCCUGCUCCGAUGUCUGUCAGUAAUGGAAUCGGAAGCUGAAGUAAACCCCUUUGUCCCCUAAGUCGGUGUUUACCAUGGCAACAGGAAAGCAAGCAUCAGCCUAGAGAGGUAGACACACAAGGAGCCUUUGCUCACUAAUCUUCAGACUGUCCAUCUGGGUGAUGGGUUAAAAGAUGAAGACAGCUAUGUUGACAAUAGCUGUCUGGGAUUGAGGGGAAGUGGUUUCCUUUUGCCAAGUGUCCUGUCGUUAUAUCUACUGCCUCUCAGUUCUCCAAGGAUUGCACUGUCUCGGUCAUGAAGAUUGAUUCUGGUAAAGCUCUGGUAUAAAGCUGAUGCCUGAAGCUAACGCUCUGAGUCUCUGCUUCUGCUACCUUCUGGACAUGAAUGAGCAUCGUGCCACAGGGUGCGGGAUCCUGGCUUCUCUAGGACAAUGGGACAUUUGAUGCAACUCAGAAAUUACCCAACAAGAUUGAGGAUGGUGCUCCACAGGCCCAUCCACAGCACCUGACACCUGCAGAACGGUGGAAAGCUCGAACUGUGCUUGGAAACGUGGAAGACAUUUUCCAGAUCAUGACACUCUUUAAGGCUAGGUAGAGAUCUCUGGUUUCACCAAAGCGUGUGAGUGUGUCACCAACACCAGCGCUAGUCUCUACAAAGCCAUUUGAUACUUGGAGCUAGUUGCUCCCUAGAAGAAAGUGACAAGUUGUGUUCUAUAAAGGGCAUGUAGAAAUGUGGAUGGUGGUGAUGGAGGCACCCAUUUCCACCACAGCCUCUGUGUCCCAGCUCAGAAUACCACAGAAGCAUAAGGAUGACUUCUCGGAAGCUACAAAUCUGCUCCGGGCGCAAAGAGAGAAGUUUUGCCCAUCACUUCUUCUGAACCAAAGAUCUGUAACAAUCAAAAGCCAUAGGAGCUCUUUGGUGUCACAGGGGAUGCCAUGAAGGGCAUUGACAGCAAAGUGGUAGCUUUGACAACUUACGUAAUUGUUUUAGAGCGUAUGUGUUUAGAUAUGUCUCGACCUCCCCCAACAGUUCUGUCUCCUGGAGUUUUCAAUUCACAGUCCUCGUGGGUCCGCAGACUACUCCCCAAGCACACUGGUUGCUGAAGUUUUCUCUAUAAACAUAGCUAAGGAGACAGGGAGCAGCUGUGUCACAUGUUUCUGUGACUGAUGGGCUUGUGUGGGAUUCUCACUGCUAUGGUUUAUAGUCUGUCUUGGAUACUAAUGCAUAGGAAGCUUCCACUCUAAUGUGGCAAUGUGAGAUGUGCUGGAGCCUUUAAAAGGAGGGCCUCAGUGCAAGACAGAUGGGUGAUGGGGGUACCACCUUGGGCAGGCACUGAGUCAGUCUCGAAAGCUCUUGGGUCAUUAUAAAGGAGCAACAUGACCCCUUCCUAGCGUCUCUGGCUUCCCACUCACAAUGGAAUCUCUCAUUUUUACACCCAUUCCCACCAUGAUGCCAUCUGCCAUAAUAUUGUGUGGGCCUUUACCAGAGGCCAAAUGGACUGUCAAUCUCUAAAACCAUGAACUGUACAAACAAACCUCUUUUCUUUUCAGCCUCAAGUAUUUAUUCAAGCAACAGCAAAGGGACUAAUACACUAACCUACUCUGGAAAGCUGCUACUGUACCUUCAGCCUUCACUUGGAAGUAGUGACCAUUGUUUAUGAUCACAAAAUUAUAACUUGCAGCUCAUGUUAUCAUGUGAGAGAAAAAAAUAAAGCUAUGGACUUAGAAA